rnacentral:tRNA from 1 species
GCGGAUAUGGUGAAAUGGGUAGACACGCUAGACUUAGAAUCUAGUAUCUAAAAAGAUAUAAGGGUUCGAAUCCCUUUAUCCGCA